AAACAAAACCAGGAGAUUCACUGCAUGAGAUCAACACAAAUCCACCUUUAGCAAUAGGAUAAGAACAAGAACAAUCCCAGUUGUAGGAUUACGUUAAUUCUAAGAUUCCACUUCCUACCAUCACUCAUCAUUGAACCUCAAUUUGAUUUUGUUCGAAGUAAUACUUUCUUUUCACUCUGUUGCUGCAAUACUCUUUUGAAUUCACCCACAUGGUCACAUCCAUAUAUCAAGCACAAUAACGAAGUUGAGCUUUGAUUUCCUGAUUUUCCGGCCAAAUAAGGUUCAUCAGAGCCUAAACUGUGAUUAGUAAUAGUUGGUUGAGUUCCUUUACAUACUUUCUCUCUACAAGGAAAAAAAUUUGAAGAAAAAGAGGAGGUGGGUAUCCUGUGAUUUUGGGUUAAAUUUGAUUUUUUUUAAUUAAAAUUUUAAAAAAUUAAUCUAGACAAGUGGGAUCCAUUUUUUAUUUUUGGAA
rnacentral:misc_RNA from 1 species